rnacentral:rRNA from 1 species
AUUGAACGCUGGCGGCAUGCCUUACACAUGCAAGUCGAACGGCAGCACGGGGGCAACCCUGGUGGCGAGUGGCGAACGGGUGAGUAAUGCAUCGGAACGUACCUGGUAGUGGGGGAUAGC